rnacentral:rRNA from 1 species
UAGAUGCGAGAGUAGAGCAUAUCAAUAAGCGGAGGAAAAGAAACUAACAAGGAUUCCCUUAGUAACGGCGAGUGAAGCGGGAAGAGCUCAAAUUUGAAAUCUUCAAGGUUCUACCUUGACGAAUUGUAGUUUAUAGAAGUGUUUUCUGUUAGUAGAGUGGCAAAAGUUCUUUGGAAUAGGACAUCAUAGAGGGUGAGAAUCCCGUAUUUGACCGUAUUCUUUCCUAGCUUUGUGAUACACUUUCAACGAGUCGGAUUGUUUGGGAAUGCAGUCCAAAAUGGGUGGUAAAUUUCAUCUAAAGCUAAAUAUUGGCGAGAGACCGAUAGCGAACAAGUACCGUGAGGGAAAGAUGAAAAGAACUUUGAAAAGAGAGUUAAACAGUACGUGAAAUUGUCAAAAGGGAAGCGUUUGACACCAGUGUUGUUUUUCCGAAAAUCAAUUAUGAAUGGCUUGAUUUUAAGUUUCAUGACCUUAAAAGCUUGUUUCUUAUUUUUCAUGUCUUUCGUAAUGCACUUUUCGGUUAACAAGUCAACAUCAAUUUCUUUUGUUGUAAAAGGGUAUGAGGAAGGUGGCUUUCUUUUCGGAGAAAGUGUUUAUAGCCUUGUACCUCUGCAAUCGGAGAGAUUGAGGUCUGCAGCGUAGAUCCUUCGGGGUUAGAUACAUUUGUGCUAAGUUAUAGCUUUUCAUAGACAACUUGUUGACUAUGUUUAGUCUUGUAGCUUACUCGCUGACGCUAUUUUACCUACGCUUAGGAUGUUGACGAGACUGUCGAUCUC